GGGCGAAUGGUUUAGUGGUAUAAUACUCCCUUAGCAUAACUUGCAGAACGUUGAGUUCUAGACAGACAGGGCAACGAUUGGGAGUGGUCCAGGGUUCGAUUCCCUGUUCGUCCA